rnacentral:rRNA from 1 species
GACGAACCGUGCGAACGUUGUUCGGAUUCACUGGGCUUAAAGGGCGCGUAGGCGGGCUUGUAAGUCAGGGGUGAAAUCCUCCGGCUCAACCGGAGAACAGCCUUUGAUACUGCGAGUCUCGAGGGAGAUAGGGGUCUGCGGAACUUCCGGUGGAGCGGUGAAAUGCGUAGAUAUCGGAAGGAACGCCGGUGGCGAAAGCGGCGGACUGGAUCUCAUCUGACGCUGAGGCGCGAAAGCUAGGGUAG